CUUCCUCAUAUGACAGAUAGCGGAAGUGAGAGAAAAGUGUUUAUUAAGUUUGAAAUAUGGAUAUUUACUUAAAAAAAAAAACACACAUGGAUUCGCUACAUUCACCCCUCGGAGCCGUGUGAGGCAUGUUUUAUUAUGGACGUGCGUGCUUUAUUUGAGGAGUUGUGGACUGUUCAACUGCAAUCUGAAAGAAGAAAGUCAUAUACACUUAGGAUGCCUCAAAGACAAUCAUUGCACUAACCUCCAACUUGUCUUAAAUACACAAAGGAAAACUUCUCUCGGAGUAAUCUGGAGCAAACACUCUGCUGAGAGCUGCUCACUGGAUCCCAGAGACCCAGUCUGUCACCAAAUAAUUAAAAAUACCCCGUAAAUAACUUGAAAAAUGCGAGAAAACAUACGUAAAAGACCUAUCUUGCACGAUAUUUCCAAAAGGUGAAGCAAAAAUGUGUCGGACAGCGCUUAUCAACUUGUCUCAAUCCUCUCCAGUCACUUGAGGAAAGAGAGGCACUGCUCGAUCCUAAGAGACGGCUCUAGAGGACAGAGAGCUGUUAGGCUAGCGGCGCUAAUGCUUGGCCACAUAAAACAGAAGAAAAGAGAGAACGCUUGAGAGGGAUCUCAGUGUGGUCCCAUCAACAAACUGAAGGUUAAGCUGUCUAAGACGUGCUGAGAGCUCUUCAUUUAUGUGUGGAAAAGGUCAGAGACCUUUAAAAGUGUUGCAUGUAACCACAGAAUAUUCUGGAAAGAAAAACAAACACUGUAAAUUGUGACCACUAAGAUCGUCUAAAUAAAAUGUUAUGAAAUGUUGGAAACAA